rnacentral:rRNA from 1 species
AGAUUGAACGCUGGCGGCAUGCCUUACACAUGCAAGUCGAACGGCAGCACGGGAGCAAUCCUGGUGGCGAGUGGCGAACGGGUGAGUAAUAUAUCGGAACGUGCCCAGUAAUGGGGGAUAGCCCGGCGAAAGCCGGAUUAAUACCGCAUACGACCUACGGGUGAAAGCGGGGGAUCGCAAGACCUCGCGUUAUUGGAGCGGCCGAUAUCAGAUUAGCUUGUUGGCGGGUAAAAGCCCACCAAGGCAACGAUCUGUAGCUGGUCUGAGAGGACGACCAGCCACACUGGGACUGAGACACGGCCCAGACCUCCUACGGGAGCAGCAGUGGGAAUUUGGACAAGUGGCGCAAGCCUGAUCCAGCCAUGCCGCGUGUGGGAAGAAGGCCGUUGGGUUACGUUAAACCGACGUUUUGUACG